rnacentral:tRNA from 1 species
GCCUGGCUGGCUCAGUCGGUAGAGCAUACGACUCCUGAUCUUGGGGUCAUGAGUUCAAGCCCCAUGUUGGGUA